rfam:Ipomoea nil DNA, scaffold: scaffold3017, cultivar: Tokyo-kokei standard.
GCCCGUCUAGCUCAGUUGGUAGAGCACAAGGCGUUUAACCUUGUGGUCUUGGGUUCAAGCCCCAGGGUGGGCG